rnacentral:misc_RNA from 1 species
AACGCACCUUGCGCUCCUUGGUAUUCCGAGGAGCAUGCCUGUUUGAGUGUCAUUAAAUUCUCAACCUUAUUAGCUUUUGCUGAUAGUGGCUUGGAUGUGGGGGGUCUCUUUUGCUGGCUUCAUUCAUGGAGGUCAGCUCCCCUUAAAUGCAUUAGCUGGUGCCCCGCGUGGACUGUCUAUUGGUGUGAUAAUUAUCUACGCCGUGGAUGUCUGCAAUUAUAUGGGUUUUGCACUGCUUAUAACCGUCUGUUCAUUCGGACAAUACAUGACAAUUUGACCUCAAAUCAGGUAGGACUACCCGCUGAACUUAA